UACAUGCAAGUCGAGCGAACAGAUAAGGAGCUUGCUCCUUUGACGUUAGCGGCGGACGGGUGAGUAACACGUGGGUAACCUACCUAUAAGACUGGGAUAACUUCGGGAAACCGGAGCUAAUACCGGAUAACAUUUGGAACCGCAUGGUUCUAAAGUGAAAGAUGGUUUUGCUAUCACUUAUAGAUGGACCCGCGCCGUAUUAGCUAGUUGGUAAGGUAACGGCUUACCAAGGCGACGAUACGUAGCCGACCUGAGAGGGUGAUCGGCCACACUGGAACUGAGACACGGUCCAGACUCCUACGGGAGGCAGCAGUAGGGAAUCUUCCGCAAUGGGCGAAAGCCUGACGGAGCAACGCCGCGUGAGUGAUGAAGGGUUUCGGCUCGUAAAACUCUGUUAUUAGGGAAGAACAAACGUGUAAGUAACUGUGCACGUCUUGACGGUACCUAAUCAGAAAGCCACGGCUAACUACGUGCCAGCAGCCGCGGUAAUACGUAGGUGGCAAGCGUUAUCCGGAAUUAUUGGGCGUAAAGCGCGCGUAGGCGGUUUCUUAAGUCUGAUGUGAAAGCC
rnacentral:rRNA from 1 species